rnacentral:rRNA from 1 species
UACGGAGGGGGCUAGCGUUGUUCGGAAUUACUGGGCGUAAAGCGCGCGUAGGCGGACCUGCAAGUCGGGGGUGAAAGCCCGAGGCUCAACCUCGGAACUGCCUUCGAUACUGCGGGUCUCGAGUCCGGGAGAGGUGAGUGGAAUUCCCAGUGUAGAGGUGAAAUUCGUAGAUAUUAGGAAGAACACCAGUGGCGAAGGCGGCUCACUGGCCCGGUGCUGACGCUGAGGCGCGAAAGCGUGGGGAGCAAACAGG